rnacentral:misc_RNA from 1 species
GAAAUGCGAUAAGUAAUGUGAAUUGCAGAAUUCCGUGAAUCAUCGAAUCUUGGAACGCACAUUGCGCCCUCUGGCAUUCCGGGGGGCAUGCCUGUCCGAGCGUCAUUACGCACCCUCAAGCCCGGCUUGUGUGAUGGGCCCCGGCGUCUCGUUCGCGAGACGGGCCCGAAAGGCAGCGGCGGCGUCGACCCGAUGAGCCCGAGCGUAUGGGGACUUCUGUCACACGUUCGCGGUGCGGACCGGCGCCUGCUUGACUUUUCUGAUUAUCCAGGUUGACCUCGGAUCAGGUAGGGAUACCCGCUGAACUUAAGC